rfam:Aspergillus zonatus CBS 506.65 unplaced genomic scaffold ASPZOscaffold_18, whole genome shotgun sequence.
GCCCUUGUGGUUCAGUGGUAGCACGUUGCACUUGUAAUGCAAAGGUCCUGAGUUCAACUCUCAGCGGGGGCA